rnacentral:tRNA from 1 species
AGUAAUUUAGUUUAUAAAAACCUUAAAUUGCAAAUUUAAAAAUCUUCUUA